AACUCGAGUUGGAAGAGGCGAGUCCGGUCUCAAAAUGGAGGGCUACGAUCCAAAGGAACCAGAGCAGCUGAGGAAGCUGUUUAUUGGUGGUCUGAGCUUUGAAACCACAGAUGAUAGCUUAAGAGAACAUUUUGAGAAAUGGGGCACACUUACAGACUGUGUGGUAAUGAGAGAUCCUCAAACAAAACGUUCCAGAGGCUUUGGUUUUGUGACCUACUCUUGUGUCGAAGAGGUGGAUGCUGCAAUGUGUGCUCGGCCACACAAGGUUGAUGGACGUGUGGUGGAACCAAAGAGAGCUGUUUCUAGAGAGGAUUCUGUAAAGCCUGGUGCCCAUUUAACGGUGAAGAAGAUUUUUGUUGGUGGUAUUAAAGAGGAUACAGAAGAAUAUAAUCUGAGAGACUACUUUGAAAAGUAUGGCAAGAUUGAAACCAUAGAAGUUAUGGAAGAUGGGCAGAGUGGGAAAAAAGAGGAUUUGCUUUUUGUAACUUUUGAUGAUCAUGACACAGUUGAUAAAAUUGUUGUUCAGAAAUACCACACUAUUAAUGGGCAUAAUUGUGAAGUGAAAAAGGCCCUUUCUAAACAAGAGAUGCAGUCUGCUGGAUCACAGAGAGGUCGUGGAGGUGGAUCUGGCAACUUUAUGGGACGUGGAGGAAACUUUGGUGGUGGCGGAGGAAACUUUGGGCGUGGAGGAAACUUUGGUGGAAGAGGAGGCUAUGGUGGUGGAGGUGGUGGCAGCAGAGGCAGUUAUGGAGGUGGUGAUGGUGGAUAUAAUGGAUUUGGAGGAGGAAAUUUUGGUGGAGGUAACUAUGGUGGUGGUGGGAACUAUAAUGACUUUGGAAAUUAUGGACAGCAACAAUCUAAUUAUGGACCCAUGAAGGGGGGGGCAGUUUGGUGGAAGAAGCUCAGGCAGUCCCUAUGGUGGUGGCUAUGGAUCUGAGGUGGAAGUGGUGGAUAUGGUGGCAGAAGGUUUAAAAAAUAA